UACGUAGGGUGCGAGCGUUAAUCGGAAUUACUGGGCGUAAAGUGUGCGCAGGUGGCCGCGCAAGUCGAGUGUGAAAGCCCCGGGCUUAACUUGGGAAUUGCGCUCGAAACUACGUGGCUAGAGUGUGGCAGAGGGAGGUGGAAUUCCACGUGUAGCGGUGAAAUGCGUAGAGAUGUGGAGGAACACCAAUGGCGAAGGCAGCCCCCUGGGCCAACACUGACACUCAUGCACGAAAGCGUGGGGAGCAAACGGG
rnacentral:rRNA from 1 species